AAUCUCGUCAUUGUUGAUCACAGAAAUAUUCAAUGAGGAUUUAAAAAGAGGCAGUCGGUAGCUAAACUAUUGUCACUAGAGUUUCUGCCAACAAGCAGUGCCACCCACUUGAAACAUUGCGUGUGGCCUGCAUAAUCAAUGAUUCAGCUUGAAUGUUGGUGCUAAUCAUCGUGGUGAAAAGACUCUUCGAAAAAUCUGCGAUUCCGCAUCGUUACAUGUUAUCAUAUAUUAACAUUUAAAAUAAACCGACACCGUCGCAAGACUAUAUGCUGAUAUUGAAUCGGAAACCAUCAAUCGUACGAAAUGUCGACAUCAUGGACAAUAGUACGUUGGUGACAUCAAGCGGAAUUACAUGAAGUUUGUCAUCAGUCACUAUCAAACGCAGCCGCUGUGCGCCAUCGGAAUCCGGCUGAAGACAACCUGCAAAUACCUGAAACGAAUCAAUAGCAACAAAACGUUGUGCCAGUACUUGUACAAGGGGCUAAUACCGAUCUGAGGCUAUACUGUUCUGGAUCGAUCGAAAAAGCAAACGCUUAGGGAAAACAAAAUUAAUCGCAAAUCUGUGGAAAAACACGGAAUUUUUCACGUAUUCAGUCAUAUAUUCUGCUUCUGCUACCGCUACUAUACGUGGACUUGUCAUCUACAUGAGUUGGUCAAUAAUUAAUUGGAAAUAACAAGCUUGUGUAAAUUGUUCGAUAAUUUUAUUUCUUUUAUUUAUUUCGCACAGUUUGCAUCAAUAUGUUAAGUUGUGGAAAUAGAAGCGACGCUUUUUCUAAGUAGACCGUUUUACAGUCUCAAGUAUCUCAGGUAAUACAAGUUGCGUCGAGUUGGCGUUGACGUCAAAGACUAAGAUAGUAGAUGGCGGUAGUAGAUGUUUUCAAAUUAUGAGAGUGCUUCUAGUCAAACUUAAGGUAGAUCGCCUUGAGGAUAGGUAAGAUGUUUGUCAUAUUCAACAGCUUUAUCACUGUAGUACUAGGCCCGUAAACAAUGAGGCCAGUCCUGCUGAAGAAAAUGCGCAAAAAAUAAUGCUCGUUAGCUGGUGGCCUAUCCCGGACCGAUAGAGAGGAAGGUGAUGCUAGAUGCUUGAUAAGAUUGCAAAAAAGUCGUGCGCGAAAAGCUGCUUUGCUGUGGUAUAUAACUCAAUAGCUAAAAAGAUUGCAACAAGCCAAAAAUCAAUCUAAACUAUUAUCUAGCUCACAAUAUCAUUAUCAAUUAUAAUAAUAAUGAGUUAUUAUAUAACUCAUUAUCUAGCACGACAAUAUCAAAUAACGCACAUCUUUAGGUGCCCGGAGAAAAUUGAGGGAAAUCGGAUUAAGACAUAUUAAUGGAUUCGCCCUAUAAAAAUGACAAAAGCCCAUCGGUCAAAUGUAGGCAUAUUUAGUUUUUUUCAUACUGUGUUAAAAUAUAGAAAAUAUUCGCUCCUGUUUUGGCUUGAAAUAAUACAUUUUUAACCAUUCACAACAAUAUGCACUAAACGUUUACGCUUGUACGACUAUGUUUCAUUGGCUGGGGAUUAAGUAUAAGGUUUGCAGCUUGUUCUUUGGGUCAUUUGUAGUAUAACUUUCUAAAUCUUACUCUACUUAAGAGAAUCCGUUAGAAGGUACCUAAACGAUCCGUAUUUUUCUAGCAGUGCGUUGUUACCUCCUUCGAAAGCUUCUUUUAAGUGAAGCUCACCUGAAAAUCUUCUCUUAUCGCAAGACGCAUAGCCAGCCGAUGUCCGAAACCUGUAUCACAUCCUGUUGAUGACGUAAUAUAACAAUAAUAGAUUAAGCAUAAUUUAUAUAUACGACAUUGUAGAAUUACAACCACUAUUACAAUGUACUGGCCAACAACUCGAAUAAAAUUUAUAUGGCAUUUUAUUAAGUUGCUAAAUGUAACAAGUCCUUCUUUUGAGUUGUUCGAAGAUGUCGAAGACCAGAUAACUUAGUUCGCCUAUGCUAUAAGUGUCAUUCCUGAUAAUUACGUUUCUUCAAUAUGACUAGCAUUCAAAGGUAUUACAGCUUCUAUCUGGGACCCAAAAUAUUAACCAGUAAUGCUCAAAGUAUUAUUUUUUCAGUCCGCGAAUAGCUUUUUAAUACUAAGUGCGCAUAAAUAUUAAACAUUCAUAAGCGUAGACUCGUUAAAACUUGGCUCAAAUAUACUACACACUUUGUAAAUUUUAGGGUGAUAGCGGGCCCAAAAUCCUAAAAUGUGGGACUCAGAAUUGCCAAGAACUUGAAAUGCUUGAGAAAAACUGGUUUUCCUUUAAAUUUCAAAUACGACGCAUUGUUUUCGCUAUGACGAGCUUAUUGUUUUGUCCUAAAAGGAAGUUGCCUUUUUGGUACCGAAAAUAGCGGAUGAAUGGAUGCCCGCUACGACGAACAGCUGGCCGAGUUUACUAGAACUUUAAUGUCUCACCCUGUACAUAUGAGGUUGAAAAAGCUUAAAACCGCUGUUUCAAUAUCAGCAACAUCUACUCGACAGCCGAUCUGAUUAGGUUAAUGAACAUAUGUAUAUAUUUCUUAUAGGCACACAUAUUAUUGGCUUUAAAAUGUAUUGGCAAAAGCUAAAGUCUGAUUCGUAACUAAACUUUGCUUCCCUGUUAGCUAUUCAAAAGCCAAAUUUUAGAUUAUUGUGUUUCGCAAGCACUCUAACGUGAACGAUUUGCGACCAUAUUUAGUUUUUUUUUUUUUUUAUAACGAAAAUGAAGCAUUAAAAACUAUAUAUUAUGUUCUAUGGUAGACAUGACAUCAAGUCCGCAAAAAUAGUAUCGAAGUUUUAUAAAAAAAAAAAAAAGAACCUUUAUUCUAGACGAUCGAUCAUAAUUAAGACGGAUCAAAUAAUAAAAAAAUAUACUUCAUGCUAAAGAGCCGCCUGAUCACGUAUAGAGAGCUCGCAAAAGAGUUCCUGCACGAGCCACGUUGAGAGAUCAUUUAGAAAUAAGCAGGCUUGCGAGAUACCACAUCCAAUGUUAAAAAACUGUCUUUGUUAAACAAGGUUAUCAUGAGCUUUCGCUAAGAAGGAGUAGCGGGGCGGAAACGUAUGGCGUGUACCCGACUCUUCGUAUGAAGUCAAAAAGACCCGCGAUAGAUGUAGCGUAUUUGGCAAACACUUCCUAACUGAGAGUACUGCUCUAGGGUAAUUUGCUAAGUUCAAAAAUAACAUAUUGGACCUAAAUGACGCAUUCACUCAAUUUUUUGAAUUUUAUAAUGAUUACCUUGAGUCUUCGAGACUCUUUUUGGAAGAAGAAUAAUUGUCAGAUAAACCAAUAUCCCCUUAAUGUAGAGUUUGCGCCGUACAAGUAGUAGACAUCUUAAUUUUUCGUGCUAUUCUUUGAUACCGGCAAAAAGCCAUAACCGCAAACUAAUUCAUAUUUCAUCGAACAUACCGACCGCCACAAAAAGCAGGGACCAGGUAGAAUUUUAUGACGCACGCGAUCAGAGCCAUUGAAAUAGAGUUGUCGAACAAAAAAGGAUCUCAACUCGAAUGUUAGGUAUUUCAUUGAGAGACAUAUACACAUACCACUGAAGUGAUUCACUACGCUUUAUAAAUUUAAUGUGCUUCCACAAAAUGAUUGUAAUCCUGAAGCUUUUAAAGGUUUUUUAUUUUUUGGUUAGAAAAAGAUCUUGUAACUAGCAUAGACAGCAUGUCCGUGUUUGAAAAGCAAAUAUCAGGCUAAAGGGUUGCAUAUAUAUACGCAUAUUAAAAAAUGUUAGCUUUUAAAUUAAAUCGACAAAAACGAAUGAAAAAUUCGAUAAA